AUGUUUGGCAAAUCCAAUCAAAAGGGAAUUAAUCUGAAAAGGAAGAGAAAAGGAGAGGAAGGAAGGAAGGAAGAAAAAGAAGGCAGGAAGGGAAAGAAGGAAAGAAGGAAAGAAGGAAAGAAAGAAAGAAAGAAGGAAAGAAAGAAAGAAAGAAAGAAAGAAAGAAAGAAAGAAAGAAAGAAAGAAAGAAAGAAAGAAAGAAAGAAAGAAAGAAAGAAAGAAAGAAAGAAAGAAAGAAAGAAAGAAAGAAAGAAAGAAAGAAAGAAAGAAAGAAAGAAAGAAGGAAAGGAUGGAAGGAAGGAAGGAAGGAAGGAAGGAAGGAAGGAAGGAAGGAAGGAAUGAAGGAAGGAAAGAAAGAAGGAAAGAAAGAAAGAAAGAAAGAAAGAAAGAAAGAUAGAAAGAAAGACAGAAAGAAAGAUAGACAGACAGAAAGAAAGAAAGAAAGAAAGAAAGAAAGAAAGAAAGAAAGAAAGAAAGAAAGAAAGAAAGAAAGGAAGGAAGGAAGGAAGGAAGGGAAGGAUCGAAGGUACGCACGCAAGGAAGGAAGGAAGGAAAGCUAGGGAAUGAAGGAAGGGAAGGCAGGAAGUAAGG
rnacentral:lncRNA from 1 species